rnacentral:rRNA from 1 species
UACGUAGGUGGCAAGCGUUAUCCGGAUUUAUUGGGUGUAAAGGGCGUGUAGGCGGGAAUGCAAGUCAGAUGUGAAAACUAUGGGCUCAACCCAUAGCCUGCAUUUGAAACUGUAUUUCUUGAGUGCUGGAGAGGCAAUCGGAAUUCCGUGUGUAGCGGUGAAAUGCGUAGAUAUACGGAGGAACACCAGUGGCGAAGGCGGAUUGCUGGACAGUAACUGACGCUGAGGCGCGAAAGCGUGGGGAGCAAACAGG